rnacentral:rRNA from 1 species
CCUACGGGGGACAGCAGUGGGGAAUAUUGCGCAAUGGGCGAAAGCCUGACGCAGCGACGCCGCGUGAGGGAUGAAGGUCUUCGGAUCGUAAACCUCUGUCAGCAGGGAAGAACGGUCACUGUGCUAAUCAGCAGUGAAUUGACGGUACCUGCAAAGGAAGCACCGGCUAACUCCGUGCCAGCAGCCGCGGUAAUACGGAGGGUGCGAGCGUUAAUCGGAAUUACUGGGCGUAAAGCGCUCGUAGGCGGUAUGUCAAGUCAAGGGUGAAAUCCCCGGGCUCAACGUGGGAACUGCCUUUGAAACUGGCAAACUGGAGUGUGUGAGAGGAUAGUGGAAUUCCAGGUGUAGGAGUGAAAUCCGUAGAUAUCUGGAGGAACAUCAGUGGCGAAGGCGACUAGCUGGAACAUAACUGACGCUGAGGAGCGAAAGCGUGGGUAGCAAACAGGAUUAGAUACCCCAGUAGUC